rnacentral:lncRNA from 1 species
CGCCGCCGCCUUUCUGCUCCGCCUCCUCGUCAUCGCCUCAUCGUCCGAGGACCGGCGUCGCCUCCAGCACCCACAGGGCCCCUGCGCCUCGUCCUGACCUCGCCUCUUCCACAGCGUAGCCCCGCCAUGACCGCUCCCCUGCUGCUGAGGCCCAUGGCCGCCGUUGCCCACUGCUGCCCUCCUUCUCCUGUUCGUUGCCGCCGUCAAAGACCAGUAGGCCUCCACAGCGCUAUUUUUUUGCCUCCUCUCGCGCCCUGCAUCGAGCCAUCGGGCCAGGGGUCGCCAGAUGUCGUCCCUGCUGCCGGGGAACCUCGUUUUCACCCGUUUCCGUCUUCGGCGCCGUGCUAGGCCUCCCCGACGCCCUUGCUGUUGCUGCAAGACCACCACGGCGCCGCCAUGGAAUCCCAGGUCCGAAGAUGACCACGACCGUGCAUCUCUCCUUAUACCACUUUGGAGUUCGAGACCAUCAAGUACCCCGACGCUCAUCACCAUGCACGACUGCAACAUCAAGGGAACCACUACCCUCGACUCAGGGACGCCAAGUACCUCUAUGACCCGUGUAUGACUACGUGAUUUCACCAAGUACCCCUUGGAUGCGCCAAGUUGGACUACAUGGACCACCAAGUUUCUCUACCGAUGACUCAAACGACUACGAAAUGCCAAACGUGUACCGCUAUCGUCGACCCUCGAAGAUCCCUUGGACGUCAAGUUCCUCGUCGUGACCCUGACCAUCUACAAAUCGUGUACCACUACUUCCAUUACAACCCGUGAAUGACUACUUCCCUCGACGUUUUUGAACCGCCUCGAAAUGCACGCUUCGAAGGUAUAACCGCCGGAACGAUGCCCGUGAAUGAAUGUAUGUUGUAUGAAAUGCUCGCUGUUGCACCGUGUCCGGCGUGUUUCUUGCACGUUCCCCAUUGCCAUGCCGUCGUCUCGUGGGAACCCGGUUGCCGGGAUCACCCCACCUUCUAUCGCAUGUCACGCUCCCGCCGCACUUUCCUUUGCACCGGGAUCUCAAUCGAGUUACCGAAACCGAUAUGUUGCCGUGGCAUCACUUUCGGAUUCGUUGUCGUGGCACCCCUUUCGUUUCCGCCACGAUGACAAAUGCUUCAUAUAAUGCUCCUAUCAACAUUUUCAUAAAACUUGUUCAUGUCAUCCGCAUCAUGAUAACAACAAUUAAAUGUUUAAAAUGUUGUUUGUGUAAAUUUGAUCCUAUGCCAUGCUAAAAUGAUUUAAUUCAUAACUAUUUAACCGUAGCUCCAAAUUUAAUAAUCUUUAUAUGAAAAUGGGGUAGAAAAAUGCCUAGUUUAACAUGGUGACCUUUAUUUGCAUGUUAAACAACUCUAAAAUUGUGUUUAGGGCAGAACAGUACCAAAUCUAUAAUAUGCUCAUGAGGAGUUUCCGGAAUUGUUGUUCGUUGCUUCCGGCCUCAUUUAAACUUGACUAGAUAGGUAGUUUUACUUUGCUUCACCCUCUUGCCAUGUUAACAACAUUUAAUCUUGUUGGUUACCUAAACAAGAGAGAACUAAAUAAGUCAUGUGGUGUUUUCUUCAAUAUGCAACUCCGUUGCAUAUUGUGCUCCACUUAAUUUGUAGGAUUGUUUGUGCACUUUGCCAUGCCAUGCUUCUUUAAACCGGUCAUGCAUCAUACUUGGUUGUGCAUCAUGCCAUGAUUUUGUGGUGGUUGUUUACUAUGUUGUGUGCUUCUUUCCGGUGUUGCUUCUUCGGGUUGGUUCCGGUAACGUCGCGUUUGUGAGGACCCGUUCGUCUACAUCCAUUUGUCUUCUUCAUGGACUCGUUCUUCUUCCUUGCGGGAUUUCAGGCAAGAUGACCAUACCCUUGAAAUCACUUCUAUCUUUGCUUGCUAGAUGCUCGCUCUUUUGCUAUGCCUAUGCUGUGAUACCUACCACUUGCUUAUCAUGCCUCCCAUAUUGUUGAACCAAGCCUCUAACCCACCUUGUCCUAGCAAACCGUUGUUUGGCUAUGUUACCGCUUUGCUCAGCCCCUCUUAUAGCGUUGUUAGUUGCAGGUGAAGAUUGAAGUUUGUUCCUUGUUGGAACAUGGAGAUGUUGUUCCUUGUUGGAACAUGUUUACUUGUUGGGAUAUCACAAUAUAUCUUAUUUAAUUAAUGCAUCUAUAUACUUGGUAAAGGGUGGAAGGCUCGGCCUUAUGCCUGGUGUUUUGUUCCACUCUUGCCGCCCUAGUUUCCAUCAUAUCGGUGUUAUGUUCCCGGAUUUUGCGUCCCUUACGCGGUUGGGCUAUAAUGGGAACCCCUUGACAGUUCGCCUUGAGUAAAACUCUUCCAGCAAUGCCCAACAUUGGUUUUACCAUUCGCCACCCAGCCUUUUUCUUUUCCCUUGGGGGUCGCGCGCCCAAGGGUCAUCAUUANNNNNNNNNNNNNNNNNNNNNNNNNNNNNNNNNNNNNNNNNNNNNNNNNNNNNNNNNNNNNNNNNNNNNNNNNNNNNNNNNNNNNNNNNNNNNNNNNNNNNNNNNNGCCGGUGGCCACCAGGGGCAACUCUGGGCUGGCCUACCGGAAGUUUGGACGAUCCGGUGUGCCCUGAGAAAGAGAUAUGUGCAGCUCCUAUCGGUAUUUGUCGGCACAUUCGGGCGGUGUUGCUGGUUUAGUUUUACCCUGUCGAAAUGUCUUGUUGUACCGGAAUACCGAGUCUGAUCGGAAUGUCUCGGGAGGAGGUCUAUUCCUUCGUUGACUGUGAGAGCUUGUGAUGGGCUAAGUUGGGACACCCCUGCAGGGAUUUGAACUUUCGAAAGCCGUGCCCGUGGUUAUGGGCAGAUGGGAAUUUGUUAAUGUCCGGUUGUAGAAAACCUGAAGUUGACCUUAAUUAAAAUGAAUCAACCGCGUGUGUUACCAUGAUGGUCUCUUUCCGGCGGAGUCCAACAAGUGAACACGGUGUUGGAGUUAUGCUUGACGUAGGUUGUUUUAGGAUCACUUCUUGAUCAUACUUGUAUCGACCGUGCUUUGCCUUCUCUUCUCGCUCUCAUUUGCGUAUGUUAGCCACCAUAUAUGCUAGUCGCUUGCUGCAGCUCCACCUCAUACUUUUACCUUACCCAUAAGCUUAAAUAGUCUUGAUCGCAAGGGUGCGAGAUUGCUGAGUCCCUGUGGCUCACAGAUACUUCCAAAACCAGCUUGCAGGUGCCGAUGAGUCCGUGCAGAUGACGCAACCAAGCUCAGGAGGAGCUCGAUGAAGACCUUGUCCUUUGUGUUGUUUCGUUCUAGUUGAUCAGUAGUGGAGCCCAGUUGGGGUCGAUCGGGGACCUUUGUCGCAUUUGGGGUUCUUCUUUUAUUUUGGUUCCAUAGUCGGACCUUGAUUGUAUUUGGAUGAUGUAAUGCUUUAUUCAUGUAUUGUGUGAAGUGGCGAUUGUAAGCCAACUAUGUAUCUUUUUCCUUAUGUAUUACAUGGGUUGUGUGAAGAUUACCUCACUUGCGACAUUGCUUUCAAUGCGGUUAUGCCUCUAAGUUGUGCUUCGACAUGUGGGAGAUAUAGCCGUAUCGAGGGCGUUACAAGUUGGUAAUCAGAGCCUUCCCCGACCUUAGGAGCCCCAUUGCUUGAUCGUUUUUAGCAGCCGAAUUGUGUCUAGAAAAAUGUUUUGAGUCAUUUAGGAAUUAUAUAUCGGAGAGUUUAGGAAUUCUUUUUACUUCCCAGUCUCCUCAUCGCUCUGGUAAGGCAUCCUGACGUAGAGUUUUGACUCUUCUCUUAUCAAAUUUCACUAAAAAAAAUUAGGAUCACGCGGGUAUCUUGGAAUCGUUUCGAUGGUUUUAUGAUGAGAACAUUGUCUUGGUGCCUCCUGUCAGGGGUUUUGUGGAAGUGUCCCGGGGAGUUGAGCUCUGAGGUGUUGUCGUCAUAAUUUUAUCGUUGCAGUUCUGGAAUACCUGAGUUUAGUACGCCGACAUCGAAAAUCUCUUUUAUGCAGUUCGUUGGUAAGAUAACCUCGACGCCACCCAGUACUGGGGCGGGAGUUCGGGAGUAUUGCCAUAACUUGUAUAACGGAUGCUUUUCGAAGGUUGAGGUAGAUGAUUUCCGAAGGUUUCUUGGUUAUGUGUUGAAGGAUGGAUACAGCUGGAUGUAGGAUUUGCUAGUUUGGGUGAGAUAUUAUGCUUCCCCUGUAUCCCCAACACCUGAUUGCAUAACCGGAAAAUUUCGGGAGUUUCAUAGGUGGGAAUUCAAGUAGCUCUUAGGAUAUCUUUCCGACAGAUGUAUGAUAUGAAAUUGGGGUUCGACGUCUAGUGGUCCGCCUAUUCACGAUCGAUUUUACAGUGGUCUUGUUGUGUCUUAAAGAGUCCUUGGCUAUGCCGACUCGGGGACGCUUCGUAUGUCAUGUGCACUGCCUUGUACAUGAUGGUGCUGUACGAUCGAGCCCGUGUAGGCCCCACCAUGAAAACUUCGGACGAAAUCUCUAUCAUAUGUUUGUUCCGGCUUAUUUUGCAAGCCAAUCCUUUGUUUUUGUUUUGAGUUGUGGUAUUCGAGUUGCUUCAAUGUCAAGUGUUGAUUCCAUACCUUUCCCAAAUGGUGUUCUCAUAAUCCGACGUGGAUACCAAUCCUUCUUGAUCAUCAAGAUUGUCUUGUCAAUCCUUUUCACCGGCGUGUUUUCUCUUCAAGUGGAUUCGAUCAUUUCAACAUCCGCAAGAUCCUAUCUCAGUUUUUUUCAUCAACGUUGUUUGUUUCAUCCGUCUUCAAGUUGUCUUUGUUUUCCCACCCACCCACCCCUUUUUCUUCUAGGACUCAGAUUUCUCAAUCAAGUACCCAUCUUAUUGGUUAUGAAGUCUCUCCAUUCCUUUCCGUCAAUGUUCUUACCCGGUGGUUCUCAUGAAGAUGCUCUACUAGUUCAAUAUUCUCCAUUCUUUUCCAGUGGAUCCAAUUCAAGCUUUCGGUGUAGAUCAUAUUCUUUUCUGUAUUUCAAAUGCUUUUCUCGUGCCAGUGCACCUCAUAACCAUUCAUUUCUCGCUAUUCAUUUGUUCCGGAGUGCUCAAGAUAUCUCAGAAGGAUCGUCUUGUCAUUCAAGAUCCGUUAAUCCUAUUUUGAGGAUGUUUAUCUCAUUCAAGCUAUUUAACUCAACCGGUGCAACCUCUCUUUCAAAUCAUUCAACGGUGUUUUAUUUGAGUGGGCACUAACCCACAGGUCUUUUCCCAGGAUCUUACCUGACUCUUCUUAUUCUCCCGGAGUUAUUCUCAAAUUCAUUUCAAGUAUGACAUAAGAAUGAAUUGUCAUCAGUCAUAUGUCUUCCUCCAAGAUCUUUCAAAUUCUUUUCACCGUUGGCUCAACCUUUCUAUUCGUCAUCCGGAGUAUCUCAACAAUUCUUGGUGGUGUUCCUUGUCAUCAUUCUCGGAUUUGAACACCGAAGAAGAAUUUCUCUCAAUCUUGUUCUUGCCCCUUCAGGAUUCAUGGUGCUAGCUUUAUACCAUUCUCUCAUAAUUAUUUUCGGUUGUGAGAAUUCUUUUCACCUAUCCGGAGCAAUUCAGGAGCCUUUUCAGUUUGUUCAUCCAGAGCCCAUCAUCUAAGAUUUAUUCAUCCUCAGCUUUCAGCUAUCAUUCUCCAAAUUUUACCAGUGCUUCGUUCAAGUGAUCUUUAAUCGGCUCGUGAUCUCUUCGUUCUCAUGUAUCUAAAUCCUCUCAAGUAUCCUCGUUCAUUUCAUAAUUCUUCCCGGUGUUCCUCUAUCUUUCCUUUGGUCAUUUUAAUUCUGACGGUGGUUCGUUCAAGAUUUCUCUUCCUUGUUUAUCAUAUCAAUUCAUUCGUUGUUCCAAAUCCCACCGGCGGUUCCAUCAAGUCCUUAUCAAGUUAUCAAUAUCUCUCUUAAUCUUUUCUACGAGAAUAAGUAGUGUGCCAAAUCCGUUGCUUGUCAUCAAUUUAAAUUGGUGAAGGAUACGCAUAACAUAAUUCUUACUCUUAUUUCAUCCUUAUGUUAAUCUUUUCUUCCGGAGUUUGUUCACGAUGAUUAAAUUCUUGGGUUCAAGUGCUCACCCUUCUUUCCUGGAGUUCCAACCUCUUUCAAUUAUAUUAUCACGGAGAUCCAUCUAAAUCAUUGCAAGGUUCCACCUUGUGUUUUCAAUUUCUCUUUCUUUUCAUUCCUUUUGUUUACCGGAGUUCUUCAUGAAGGUUCUACAUGAUGGUUCAUCAAGGAUUUAAUUCCUUCUCGAAGUGUUCGUCAAGAUUCUUUUCAGAGGAGCUCAAGCAUUCUUCAUCUGGCAAUCCGGAGUGCAUUUCUUUCUACCGUAUCUUUGGAGGUGGUAUUAUGCCAUUCUUGAUAAUUUGAGUUCAUGUUUCAUGAUUCACAUGUUGUUAAGAAUGAGGUAUUUUAAAUCCAUCAAUAUCGUCAUUGGAGUUAUCUUGGGUUAUAUCUCACCUAAAACCUUCCCUAAGGAUUGUUGCUAUUUAUGGUGCUUAUAAAGGACCCAAGUUCUUCUUUAUCCUCCCGGUGAAAUACGUCCUCGUCUCCUUGGUCAUACCAAUCCAAUUUUUUUCCCGUGAGUGGCAGGUUGUCACCUCAUAAUUUGAGAUGUAUUCUAUAAGACCAUAUCAAGAUUAUUCUUUUUCGUUGUUGGUUUUCAUUUGCAGUCGGAGUGCUGUCCAAAUUAUAUCAUUCUUAAUCCUUUUCUAUCUUGUUUUUAACCGGAGUGGUUUCAAUAUUUAUCUUUCCCUUCAACCUCAAGGUUUUUCGCAAUCUUCUUUGUUUCUCUUUUCUAAAGGAGUGUUUUCGACCUUAUUCACCUUCGUUGUGUUCUUUCUCGAAUUUGUUCAAUCUCGCAAGGUUCCUUGGUUUCACUUGUUUGUCAAAGAAGCAACUUAGUUUUACCUCUUCUCUUUCUCUUCCGUUUUUUCUCCGGUGCCAUUCUAGAUCUCGGGACGAGAUCCUCUCAUAGUGGUGGAGUGUUGUAACGCCCCGAGACCGACGCUCCAGAAGACUUCCAGCUAUUCCGAGUUUUGCCGUGUGUUUCUUUUGUGCUUGCUCUUUUACUUUUGCAUUGCAUCAUGUCAUCAUGCCAUCAUGUCUUUAACCUUUGCAUCUCAACUCAACUAACAAAUUGCAUAGAUGGGUGAUCUAUUUAAAUCGAGGGAAGGGUGACUUCUCUUUAUAACAUAUCGACCCAAUAUUAGGGAGCUAUAUUAAAUAUUUCUUUAAUUUGGAAAUCACAAUAACACACUUGCAUAUUAUCCCAAUGCCUUUGUUAUCUUAAUUCUUGGUUUCCAACCUUGACAUAUAUUCUUUCAUCAUAUUCCGGAGCUCCACCAAAAAUCCGAACAUUUUUGGACCUUCCCAACCCUCACUUCCUAUUCAAAUCAUUUGAAUUUAAAUCAAAUGAGUUUGAAUUUAAAUCUUUCAACCAUGGCUUUUUCUAUUUUCUUGGAAUAAGCACAUUUCUGUGAGUCCGGGAAAAUUAUCUGCGUGUCCAACUUCUUCCCCUAACCCCCCUCUUUCUUUUCUUUCUUAAUCUCUGUUUUUUUCCUUUUUCUUUUAGUAAGGAGAGUCGAGCCAGCCAGGCCUUUUUCCCUCUCCACGGGGCCGGCCUCUAAUGCCAUCCACCGGCCCAUCUACUUCCAGCCGCAGCCCACACCCCACCUAACCCUAGGCCCAGCGAACCUCUCCCUCUCGAUCUCUCCCAGCGCCGCCAGGGAGACCGCUGCCCGACUCCUUAGCCCCGAUCCCCACUCCUUCUCUUCCACCUCGCGCUGCCCCUCUCCUCGCCCUUCCUCGCCCCCGCACGCGAGACCUCCCCGGCCACCGCAUCCCUGCUCGCGCCCAGAUCCCGUCGCCGUCUGGCCCGUGGAGCCGCCCACUGCUCCGCUUCGCCGCCCGGCGCGCCUCGCCGCCCGGCACGCCUCGCCGCCGACCACGCACCCCGUGCCCGAUCCCCUCGAGUCUCCUCUCCGCGCGCGACGGCCCUGCAGACGCCCGCCUCCGUUCGUUGGUGCCCGUCGUCGUGGGAUUUUCCCUCGCGCCACCGGCCUCUGCUUCCCUUCUCCAGGCUGCGUCGCCGCCUUUCUGCUCCGCCUCCUCGUCAUCGCCUUAUCGUCCGAGGACCAGCGUCGCCUCCAGCGCCCACAGGGCCCCUGCGCCUCGUCCUGACCUCGCCUCUUCCACAGCGUAGCCCCGCCAUGAUCGCUCCCCUGCUGCUGAAAACUCAGUCAAUGCAUAAAAAUGUCCAAACGAACCCCGAAAAAUCCCAAAAAUUGACAGAACACUCAUGUUGUUCUAUAUUGACACGAGAAAAAUUUGAAAGCAAUAAGAGGCAAUGGAUAUCGUUUCGUCCCCAAAGGUGGGACGUUCCCUACCGAAACCAUCAGGCUUCUUGUGAGAAGCUGUGGUUUGUGAGAAGCAUAUCGCCAAACCUGCCCCAAAUGGGACAAAAAAUUUAUCACGGCAUUUUGAUGCCGCUCCAUGAUAGCAUGCCAAGUUUCAUGAAUUUCGAACGAGUUUUGGAUUUACUAGAAUUUAAAAAUCAUGUAUCUCAAUGUUUGCGGCCGAGUGACCAUGGCAGGGUGUUUGACAUUCAUUCUCGUUUCUUACAUGGGACCUAAGCAUGCAACCAAGGACACAAAUUUAAAUUUUCAACCAAUUUAUAUGCAUUAGAGCAUGUGCAUGUAGUUCAAAUUUGAAUUAUACACAUAAAUGCAUUGAAAACUCAGUUAAUGCAUAAAAAUGUCCAAACGUACCCCGAAAAAUUCCAAAAAUUGACACAACACUCCUGUUGUUCUAUGUUGACACGAGAAAUUUUUUGAAAGCAAUAAGAGGCAAUGGAUAUCAUUUCGUCCCCAAAGGUGGGACGUUCCCUACCGAAACCAUCAGACUUGUUGUGAGAAGCUCUGGUUUGUGAGAAUCAUAUCCCCAAACCUGCCCUAGAUGGGACAAAAAAUUUACCACGGCAUGUUGAUGCCACUCCAUGAUAGCAUGCCAAGUUUCAUGAAUUUCAGACGAGCUUUGGAUUUACUAGAAUUUAAAAACCAAGUGUCUCAAUGUUUGCGGCCGAGUGACAGUGGCAGGGUGUUUGACAUUCAUUUCCCAUUUCUUGCAUGGGACCUUAGCAUGCAACCAAGGGCACAAAUUUGGAUUUUCAACCAAUUUAUAUGCAUUAGAGCAUGUGCAUGUAGUUCAAGUUAGAAUUAUGCACAUAAAUUCAAUUAAUGCAUAAAAAUGUCCAAACAAAGCACACAAUUGUUCAAAGUGAAUGGUCUGGCGGCACCGCGCGCAAAGUUUCCCUUCACAUUUCCAAAAUUUUGGCCUACCGCCAAAAUAUCUACCCUCGCCCCCUUCCCCACCCCCUUUUCUUCCUGACCACAAGUCACAUUUUCCCUGCUUCCUCCUUCCUUCCUUCCUUCCUUCCUUCCUUCCUAAGCUAUAGCCGCUUCCUCGCUCUCGCCGUCUCGCAUCCUACCGUCGGGGUCGCCAUGGUCUUCUUCAAAGACCUCUCCAGCGGUUCCUCCUCCGGCGUCGACUCCUUCACCACUCGGGUAUGCCUCUCUUCUCUCUAUCGGGCUGUGACUUAGAAUGAAGGAUUUUUACCCGGCGAUCGAUUUGAGUCAUUUCUUCCUCUUGUAGCUCCUUAGGACCAUCAGUGGCAACGAAUGGAGCGGGGUAGCUGAAGAUCUAUCCGCUCAUUGUCACCAUCAAUCUCCAUGCGUGAAGCUAGUUGCGUUUGAAUCAGUGGACAGUGGGAGGAAGUUUCUGGCAUGUGUAGAGAAGGUUAGACCCUCUUUCGUUGUUACAAAUCAUUUGUUAGAUGUGAUUCAGACACUGUCACGGUCCCAACCCAUUCAUACCACACCUUCAACCAAACGCAUCCUAAGAUAGUGUCACAGUUUGAACCUAGUAUCUUAAAUUGUUGCCAUCUCAUCAGCGGUGCCAUUAGAAAAUUAUUUGGCACCGCUUCAGCAGUUUGUGCAGCCAACUUUGAUCCACACAUCCGAGCAGCCAAGUAGUAAAAUACUAAAUCUUUAUGGCACGAAGGAACUGGGCAUCAGAGUAACUACGUGCUCCGGAGUCCGGGUCCCUGAUUUUUUUCCACUGCAUCGGCUCGCCACUGCAGGGCACCGGUGUGAGAUGUAGCAACAAUUGUCUUUACCCCAGUUUUGGCAUAUAUAGUGGACGGCCUUAGUGCUAUUUGUUCCAUGUUACUAAAUUUGUGCAUGUACACAUCUGUUAGUAUCACUUUGUUGUCAUCCAAACACUGUCACUAUGUUGUUGCGGUUAUAUUUACCUUUCUCAUAAAAUGUUCAGUUUGUUAUUUAUUGUACAUGGGUAAGAACUUGCAGCGUUGUUGUAGUUAAUUUUAGUUUAUGAUGUUCCAGAAUUUGGUUCUUGUCUUAGUAGCAAUUAAUUCAUUUGCACAUUGAUCUUUUUGAGAAGAUAUGUCAUAAUUAACAUGUUUCUUCAGUUUUUCAAAAUAAGCAUUGGUGAUUUUCUAUGUUGCUACAAACUCAUUUCCCCUAUAAUUUUUACUGAUCUAGUUUUAAACAUUAUAGGAUGAACAGAAGUGUUCUUACCUGGAGUGGGUUGAUCAAGAGUGGCCACAGUCUUUGAAGAUGUGCCUAGCGAAGCUCUGGAGCAUGUAUGAGGAAGAGAACAGACGUAGGCUUAGAGAAACUAUUGUCAACACUGAAGAAUAUUUGAAGAUGCGGGAUAAAAAGAGGAAGGUGGAGAAUGAGCUCAGGUUUUUUAAAUCAGACUUUGCUAAGAUGAUGUUGGCGAAGGAGGAGGCACUUUCCCAGUUGGCCAGUGCAAAACAAGUUCUUACUGAACUGAAAGCAGAGGUGGAAAGACGAGCCUUGAUGAUCUCGAUUAGGGAAAUAAAUGUAUUGUUCUUAUGAAGUUGAACUAGCUAUAUGUUGUACUGUGCUGUUUUCAUGUAGCUAUCAUACUGUGAUGUUAUAAUAUAUUUAUGUGCCUGAUAUGAAAUUGGCAAACAACUAUUCGAUAUGAAAUGUGAAUCUGCGUAAUACUGGAAUUAUUAAUUGUAAACUAAUAAACCUGCUAAAUGUGUCAUGGACCUUUGCAAAUAGUUCUAGCAGUAAAAGCGCUUGUAAUGGAGGAUAGCCCGAUGCCAUACAGUUUUCUUCAUCAAAUCAUGUGUGAUGUAGUUGAUAAAAGCAAAUAGUUAACCGAGGCAGGCCGUGUGUGAUAGUUACACCUUUCACACACGAGCCUACACAUAAAACUGUGUGGGAUGUACAUAUGAACGAAAACAUUUUCCCUUGAUUGACUAUGUGGGAUGUACAUAAGAAUGGAAACGUAUUCCUUGGAUUGACUGUGUGUGAUAUACAUACCUACGGAAAUAUUUUUCCGGAUUCACCGCGUGUGAUGUACAUACCUAUGAAAAUGUUUUUCUGGGAUUCACUGUGUAGGAUGUACAUACCUACGGAAAUGUUUUUUCUGAGAUUCACCGUGUGGGAUGUACAUACCUACGGAAAUGUUUUUCUGCGAUUCACCGUGUGGGAUGUACAUACCUACGGAAAUGAUUGGGUUUGGAUGCCUCGCCCAAUCGCACACGGCCCCAGCCUGUGUCCCUGGAGGGCCUAUCCCCAACGAUUUCUGGAUCGUGUGGGAAGGUUCCCCUAUCGCCCACACUCACUUGGCGACGGUUCCAAAUGCCGUCGCGGAAAGGGGUUAAAAACCGUUUGUAUAACACCGACGCGUACUAGUGGUUGUCAGACUACAUGGGACUGUUCAUACCUAUACGGUUAGCCUUCGAGGCUAAGUUACCCGAUCUCUUCGGGAAGGUUAUGAGCUUGGCUGCCUUGGCUGGCAUCUCUCCUUUAAAGGAGUAGUUUGAGAAUUAUAAAGGGGAACUCGUCUAUCGAGCCAAGGACUCCGGAUCCGAGGUGGCUCUCGUUACGAGGGUCGUCCUCGGCAUAGAAGACCAGUUCAGGGGCUACUGACGGUGUCCUGGAUUAGGGGGUGCUAACCUGGUCGGCCCAUGCUCCUUGGGUUGGGCCAAUGGGCCCUCAGUCGUGAUCAAGGUGGACUCCGGAGGCCCUGUGUGGGAGGCGUGAUCAAGAUUACCUCCACCGAAGACUUGUCGUAUACUCCAAGAUUUCUCCUGCCGCCCUGCUCCUAGAUACCGACCUUGUAACCCUAAAUACCCUACCUGGCGUGUAUAUAAGCCAUGGGGUUUAGCCCGUAGAGGGGACAUUAACGCAAUAUCAUUCAUCUAGCCCUAGAGUUAGACCACAUAUUACGAUCUCGAUGUAGAUCAACUCUGUACUUAAUACAUAACCAUUAAUAUAAACAAGAGCAUAUGUAGGGUUUUACCUCCAUCUAGAGGGCCCGAACUUGGGUAAAACACCGUCUCUCUGUUCCUAUUACCAUCCAUCCGAGAUCCACAGCUAGGGACCCCCUACCCCGGGGUCUGCCGGUUUUGACACCAACAUUAGCAAUCCGCCGCACAGUGUUCCUCCUGCACACGCGGACAUUGUUAGAGGUGGCGCACUUGCGCCGCUACAGCGAACCUAUUACGUGGGAUCCAACGAUCAGCCAUUCGAGAAGAUCGGACGGGGAAGAGACACCUCGCGGACGCGCUGCCCCAACUAUUCUUCCGCUGCGCGGCACUACGCGGCUAGUGGCAACGAUCUGUGAUCCAUCUCCCUUAGCAUGUUUCUGGAUGUUCUGCGGGUAGGAAAUUUUAAUUUGAGGUCGACACACCCUACCAUAGAUCCCAACACCCCCUACCCUGGAUCAGCUGGAUUUAGCUCCAACAAUCCUAGCACAUGGUCUCGCGACAUCCUUUAUGAUGACCGUUUUGCGGAUCAGAAGAUAGCCAAGAUAAUUUGAGUGACGUGGCCAUUUGGAACUCCAAAAACAAUUGGACACACGAGGAGAAGCACCCUGAUCCGGGCUACUUUGUGAAGCGUGUUAAGGAAGAUCUUUCCAUCAUUGAUAUUCCAACACCAUUGAUUGUUUUGCCAGGGGUAUGGAUGGUGGCCGCGGGGGAUUGAAUGGAUUAAUAUUAAUAUUUAUGUUGCUAUUGAUUCUGAGCAAAACAAAGCGGGUGCUGGUGUUGUUGCUAGAUCACCAACAACCCUGGUUGGCGCAUAGUGCAAACCCCAUAAUGGAGUAACUUAUCCUACGAUUACAUAGAUGCUUGUUGUAAAGGAUGGAGUCAUCUUCAUGAAGCUCAGGGGAUUCACACAUGUCGCAGUGGAGACCAAUUGUGUGGAGGUAGUUAACCUCUGGAACACUCACGGCGAUUCUCAUUUGGUCGUGCCACAUAUUCUUUUAGAAAUUGGAGAACUUGUUUUAGCUUUUUUCUUCUUAUGUAAUUCAACUUGUAAACAGGUCGGCCAAUCUUCUGGUUCAUCUUUGCACCAAGCGAGCCUACGCGUUGAUGAUCACCGAUAGUUGGCUUGACUCAUAACCACCUUUCCUGAUCAGCAACUUAUUAGCUAACUGUCCCAGGAACUCAUUGUGUUGAACAAAGCUCUCAAAUUCCCACAAGCAAAUGCAUAAUUAAUAUUUUUUUAAAUUGUUGUAUAUCCUUGAUGUCUACUUGUUUAUUACACCUUGUACAUUUUAUACAACACAAACAUUUUUAUACACGUUUAACUUUUUGUAAAUACAUAAUUAAUAAUUUUUUCAUAUCUAUGUUUUGAUCUCUAUUUUUCAUACACGUUAUAUAUCUUUACUAGACCAUGACGGCGCGCGUUGCUGCGCCCGUCCAUUUGUUCGAUAUAUUGAUAUUAAUUGUGUAAAUACAUAUAGAUUUGAGAAAUGAAAGUUAAACAUAUUUUUUUGUGGACAAUAUAAUGUGCAAAAUGGAUAUUAUAUGUAGGAAAAUAUAAUUAUGUUUAUAUAAGCUAUAAGAACAUGGGACUGAAAACAACAUGACCAAGCAAAGAUAUUGUACACCAGUGCAGAUAAUUUGCUCCUCGUACCCAAACACAUCUUAUUUUGAUCAUUGCUGCCAGCAACCUCUUCAUCCUCUCUGCAGCAAGAGCGGACCCCAUGUGCCUUCUCUGAAACCGGUCAUGGGCUAGUUCACACAAGAUACAAAAUGGUUCAAUACAUGUGAAAAGACGUUGCCUUUGCAUGAUGCCAGUGUGCCAAAUAUUCCAAGCUGCAAGAGGAUGAAUCAGGUCCUCGAUGGCUUAACAUUUCACAAUCAUAAAUCAUUUGCGUUUACUAUUUUUCCAAUGAAUAAUAUCAUCCUCGAUGGCUACAUAUGUUCUCCGUGUGAAGACUUAUUUUGGGAUGGAAGGAGUACAACAUACCAAUAGCAGGACAUUAAGAAUAUUAGCUUUGGUCCAUAUAAAAUUAGAUAUAUUUCACAUAAAUCCACAACCGAAAUAAGAUAAGGACGAUUAUCAUAUAUGUUUAGAGGAAGAUAUAGGAGUGUGUAAUACAUGAAUGAAUCCCCUGCAUCAAUUUGAUCCAAUUUUUAACAAAUAGGUGUAAGAUUUCAGUCAUAUAUAAAGUCAAAUUUUCAUGGUGGGAUGUAGGUUUUCUUGUCGCAUUCAACAUAAUGAUGAGAAAACUUGUGUGCAUGCAAAGUAGGCCGAUCAUCAUAAGUAAGCUGCAAUUUGAUAUAAGAUACAGUGAUAGCUCAACAAAAUCUUACCAUUUCAAGCUGCAUGCAGCUUGUCUGGAUGCUCAUAAAAUUUCUGAAAAAGUGAAGCGAUUUUUUGAAAUUUAGCAUAAAUAGCUUUCAAAAUGCACCUGUAGAUGUGCAAAAAGGAGAGGUUAGAAACAAAACAAAAUAAUAACACAGGUCUACUUUUGAGCAUCAUCUAUAUGUUUAGUGCCACUGAAAGUGAAGCCCCCCUGCAGACAACUUUUACAGUACGGUAGAAAUGAGGUAAAUGCCAAAAAUAAACAGUGUUAUAUUUGAUUUUGAUAAUGUUAGAAGAUUAUGUGUAUAAUUUAUAUUAUAUUUGUCAAGAAUACAUAUAACAGCAGUUUAUGUAAUUUCCUAAAUUGAGUGAAAGAGUAGUUUACGCGCAAGUACCAAAUUGACCUUCACAGCUCACCAAGACCUUCCGGUCAAAGAAAAGAAGCUUAUUAAUAUGUAGCAAAUACUAACUAAACUUAUUAAGAUCUCGAAGCCAACAAGCACAACUUGCUAUGUUGAUAAGCAUUUUGUUCAAUAACCAUGGACAAAGCUACAAGACGGCACACAAAAAAACGCAGCAACAUGAUGCUCGUUUAGUAUCCAUACCUUAUACCCAUGAUACUCAUCAACUGUCACAUAGGCAGUGUCAUUGCUUAGGCAUCAUCCCUAUUCUUCCACAAGAAAUAAAUAUGACGAUCCACUGUAUCUUCUCAUUUUUAUAUUUCAUUUCUAGUACGUAAUAUUGUGUCGUCGUCCAUCUUUCAAAGUUCCGGUUGUUAAUUCUGCAUCAUCAGGUGUGGCAAACUGGAGUCAACAAAAACUCUGAAUCAUUUAUAGUCUCAGUGUUAUCACAAUCUUCCCUGCCAAAGAAUCAUAAUUGUUAAAAGCAAAACAUAUGUUUAUAAAUUCUACUAUGAUAGAAAUGCACAUGAGAGAAAUGAUGCUAGCAGUUUGGGAAAUCUAGAGGCACCAAAACGACUGCACUUUCAGGAACAACAUGGCAUCUAUGCGAGACGUGCUGCAGGCCAUUAGACGGGGCAUCGAUCUAUGGAGGCAGGCCGGAGCAACAUGUUUGCUGCACCCGUUCACUUUGCUGCCAGAGGGGAUCGGCUGAAGCCUCUCCUCUGCUCCCUUUUCCUUUUUUCCGUAGCAAUAGUCUUGUCUCUUUUAUCUGUUCUCUGAUCAUAGGAUCAGCACUAUGUAUUCUUUUAUCCACUGCUCUCUGUUAUGGGUAAUAUGAAAAAGCCAGUAAUGUUGGAUCUUUCAAAAAAAGAAAGGAACUUGAUUGUGCCCCAAUACAUAGUUUUCAUCUCUUCAUUAGAAUAGUAAAAGACAAUACGUAUGCAUGAGCUGAAUUAGAUCGAUCAAUUAAUGCUAAUUGUCAUGUUUCGCUCACCUGUAUGGAAAGAACAUCGACAUCAUUCAUAAAUUAAAAAAAGGACCGCUUGGGAAAAUUCAAUCAUAUCUAGAGAAGAGAUCUCAGUACAGAACCAACCUUGGUUUCUUUGGACAGAUUCUUAGUGCAGGGAUGAAUCUCUUCCAGUCUCUUAUCUCUUAAACGAUGAUCUAAAGAAAUAUCAACACAUGAGAACAUCCCAUAAACAGGGAUGGAAAGGAGGGGAGGGGGAGGGGCGUUCAAAAGGGACUCACCAGUACAAACCACGGCCAGAUCUGGGCUCUGACAGGCAAAGAAGACACUGUAUCCAUGAAAGGAAGGACGUGGAAACAUAAUGGGCUCCUCGCCGCUGUCGCUGCAAGGAACGUCUAGGGAUGCAUCCUACACUGCAUUCUCGUCUCCACCUAAGUAGCAUCAGGAGGAAUGUAGGGAAGGUAAGAUGAUUUCACCUCCAACACAAGAAGGAAGAAGUUGAUUUUACCUGGAAUCUCUACAAAGCGUAAGGCAGACGGGAGGGAGAUGUCGUGACGCCUCGGGUACGCGUAUAGCGUCGCGGCGGCGAGCGGACCUAGGGCAGACGCCGUCGGAGAGGUCGCGACUUGCGAGAGAAGAGAGAAAAGUACAGAGGAAUCGUGCGGCGUCGCUUGGUUCGCCUUCUCUAGAAAGGCCGAGGUUGGCCCAGUUAACCAGAGAGUCUCAAUUUUGUUACGGGAGCGGCGACCCGUUUCAUUCGCGGAAACUGUUGCGCUUGGAGAUUUAUCCAACGGCCAAAAAUUGAUACUUGUAUAGAUCCGACGAUCAAAAAUACUGAUGGCCUUAGAGGGCUUGAAGAGUGCUCGGUUGUAAUGUCUUUAAAUAUAUACACUCGGAACAUUUUUUAUACAUGUUUACAUUUUUCAAAUGCCCGAUUAACAUUUUUACAAACACAUGUUUCUGAACAUUGUUGUUCGAACAUGUGUUAAUUUUUUUAAUACGUCCUGAGACAUUUUUUGAAAUGCUAUCAGCAUUUUCUAAAAGCUGCACCACCAUAUUUUUAACGCUGCACACACAUUUUUUUUCAAAAUUAAGUAUUUUUUUGAAAUAUAUGUAUUAUAUUUUUUUGAAAUAUAGAAAAACAAAACAAAAAUGCAAAACAAAAUAAAAAACGAAAUCCAGGAACGUACUAAGGAAGCGAGCGGACGCUUCUGGCGUUGACUAGGAGGUCUCAAUGAAAAAUGUACUUUUUUUGACAUGGGCCAACUAUGUAGCGUCGUCUGUACUUUUUUUUUAGAAGUUGCGUCCUGUCUGCUCAUUUGGGCUUGGUGACGAAGGCCGACUAGACCGCGCGCUUUAGCCCAUGGUGCACCUUUGGACCAUUCGCGGCCCACCUGUGAGUAAACCCUAAGCCCGGAUGCCUUCCUAUUUAAUCUCGACCCCCCUUAGGGUUCCCCUCCUUCCUCCUUGCGAGACCAAACCAAAGCUGCGGCGGCGCGCGCAUAGGAGGCGAAUCAGCAGCGGAACCAAGCCGCCGACGCCACCAUGGGUAAGCUCCGCCGAUGUACUAUUCGUUGUUCCCUCGGAGGCUGCCUGGUUUGCACGAUGCUUAUUGCCGCCAUGGUGGCUCUGCAGGUAUCUCGCGUGACUCCAUGCACAAGCGCCGGGCCACCGGUGGGAAGCAGAAGGCUUGGAGGAAGAAGCGAAAGUAAGAGCGAAUCCCCUCCCUUUCCCCCUUCCCUUACGGUUCGUGAAGAUGUGUGGAUGUUCUACGUAGGUUAGAUCCGUGUUUACUUAGAUCAGGCGUGGAUAAAUUGUCGUUGCUGCGGUGGAUAUCUGGGUUUAUCCGACGCGUCUGUACUCUUUAGGAUGAUAGCUCGGUAACUAGCAUUUUCUAGAUCUCGUAUGAUAGCUUGGUGGUAACUAGCCUGGUAAUUACGCGAGUAGCGCGGGUAUUCCGCUUUCUGGUGACUUGAUAACCUUAUCCGUUUACGCACAUCUAUGGUUUUGGCUACAUGCGAACUUCUGAUGUGUUCAUGUUAAUUUGCUGUAACUAAUGUGAACUUGAUGUUGGCAAUAUAACCGGGUCCAUCACUCAUUUUUGUAGUGAUGCUGCUGUUUCGAUGGUUGUUUUGAAGUACAAGUUUUGUGAUUCAGUAUUCUUGCUUCAGAAUGUCCAGAGCGUCAUACUUACAAUAUUCUGUGUUCAGACAUGAUGUUGUCUAUACGUAAACAUGUUUUUAUUUUGUAUUCUGGGAGUUAUUCUUAGCCAUGUCCGCACUUGGUUCUGUUUCAUUCUGGAAAAUGCAAAUUUGAACAAAUGUACUGAUCAACUCUUAGGCUGUUUGAUUCCUUUCAAGAACUUUACACUGUUAUGAAUCUUACUUUGUCCUUCAUCUUUUAUCAGGUAUGAGCUCGGCCGCCAGCCAGCCAACACUAAGCUUUCAAGCAACAAGACAGUGAGGAGGGUCCGUGUUCGCGGAGGUAACGUGAAGUGGAGGGCUCUCCGUCUUGACACUGGUAACUUCUCAUGGGGUAGUGAGGCUGUGACCCGCAAGACCCGUCUCCUGGAUGUGGUUUACAAUUCGUCAAACAAUGAGCUUGUGAGGACUCAGACCCUUGUCAAGAAUGCCAUUGUGCAAGUUGAUGCUGCCCCCUUCAAGCAGUGGUACCUGACUCAUUAUGGAGUCGAAAUCGGUAGGAAGAAGAAAGCUGCUGCAGCUGCCAAGAAGGAACCUGCUGAGGUAUUAUUCCUGUUUCUGUAUUUCAAUUCUGUAUCCUGAGGUUGGUAAUUACUGUAUAGCUUGUUUAGGAUGUGCUACUUAGUUGAAAUGAUUUGGAUUUCAAUUCUGUAUUCUGAUCAACUCUUAUUUGUAGUUGUAGCACAAGUACCAAUUCUUUUUUAUUCUGAUUGCAUGCAUUAGUAUCCUUUCAUCCUGGACUGUUAGUAGUUCCAACUUUUAUCCAGCCUCCUUGCUCAUUGUAUUUCAUUCAUGAAUAAAUUCCUUAAAUUGGUCUUUGUAGAUACAAACUUUAAUGUUUUGAACAUCUUAUUUUAAUGGUUGCAUUUUGCCAGUAAGGCCCCUAGUUUGUAUUAUGCCCUUUUCCCCUUGGAUUGUAUCCAAUCCCUGACCCAGUCUUAUCCCUGUUCACUGCUUAUGUUUGCUUUGUGUGAUUUUCUUAUGCACAGGGGCAAGAGGCUGAGGUUGCUGCUGCUGCCACAGAGGAAGCAAAGAAGAGCAACAAUGUCCAGAGGAAGCUUGAGAAGCGCCAGCAGGGACGUACACUGGACUCGCACAUUGAGGAGCAGUUCAGUGGUGGAAGGCUGCUGGCCUGCAUUUCGUCUCGCCCUGGACAGUGUGGCAGAGCUGAUGGGUAAGCAUCACAGUUCAUCUGUUCAUCACCCCUUGUAUAUUAAAUUCUGGAAGAACAUAAAGCAGUACUCUACAAUUUCUUGUUAGCUAUGGUGUUAAUACUUGUGUCUUGAAACUACAGGUACAUCCUGGAGGGCAAGGAGCUGGAGUUCUACAUGAGGAAGCUCCAGAAGAAGAAGGGCAAGGGUGCCACAGCUUAGGCUGAAGAGCUGCUGCAUGUUACUCGUUGGAUUUUCUUAGAUGUUGCGUCCAUGUCAUGUUUGCAGACAUACUGAACACCAUUUUCUGUAAACGGUUCGAGUCCUAGGUUGAACUGAGAAUGUUUUGCCUGUUUUGGUUGUGAUCUAAAGCUAUCCAGAUUCUAUUAUGUGUUCUACCUUGCAGUAUUUUCAUCUGUUCAGUGAAGUUUUGAUCUUGAGUCUCCAUGUUGAUUUGCUGCCAGCUUUGCCUUUCAGGCAUGUUAGAUUUGUAUGGUUCCUGCAGUUGCAAAGGACCCAUCCAGUGUGAAAACCCGAUCAUGUAUGCAAAGCAAUUUUGAUCAUGGAAUCUGCACAAUUGUUGGCUAUUUUUCUUUCUGGAGAUAGACGAUGACUAGCCGCUACCCCAGCCUGUGCUAAUUCUCGGUAGUGUAGGCGCUUUGCGCGGCUCUCCAUGCCUUUGUAUUCGGUGGUUUUCAUUUUCUGUUACAGGAUUUCUCGCUGCCUCUGGAGUCUGUCAAAAGUGUUACACCUAUUAAAUCCUGUUGUCAGAGCUUUGGUUGUUCAUGUGUCAAGCCUUGUGUGCCCAUUCUUUUUGAAGGUGGUUGAGAGAAACACUUGAGAAGAACUAUCACUGAAGGAAGAUAGCUAUGGAGGGGAGAUCUAGAGAGGUAGUCUUCUCCAAAUUAUUAGAGAUGGAAGUCUUGAAUCCUUGAUGGAUCUUCUCCAAAGGAGGCCAUUUCCAAUUAAGUUAUCGAUGAGCAAAGCCAAGUAAUUCUAUUAUGCUUUCAUAACACAAAAAAAAAAGA